UAAUUUAAAGUCUAGCCUGCCCAAUGAUAAUUUUAAUGGCCGCAGUAUUUUGACUGUGCAAAGGUAGCAUAAUCAUUAGUUUCUUAAUUAGAAACUAGAAUGAAAGGUUGAACGAAAAAAUAACUGUCUUUUUAUAAUUUUUUUAGAAUUUUAUUUUUAAGUUAAAAAGCUUAAAUAAAUUUGAAAGACGAGAAGACCCUAUAGAGUUUAAUAUUUUAUUAAUUAAAUUUUAAAAUAGAAUUAUUUUUAUUUUAUUAAAAAUAAUAUUUAAUUGGGGUGAUUGAAAAAUUUAAUAAACUUUUUUUUUAUUAAAACAUAAAUAAAUGAUUAAUUGAUCCAUUAUUAAUGAUUAUAAGAUUAAAUUACCUUAGGGAUAACAGCGUAAUUUUUUUUAAGAGUUCUUAUCGAUAAAAAAGUUUGCGACCUCGAUGUUGGAUUAAAAUAAAUUUUUGGUGUAGAAGCUAAAAAAUUAGGUCUGUUCGACCUUUAAAAUUUU
rnacentral:rRNA from 1 species